rnacentral:tRNA from 2 species
AUUUAUUUAGUAUAUAUAGUAUAUUUGACUUCCAAUCAGAAGGACUGAAUAAAUCAGAAUAAAUA